rnacentral:rRNA from 1 species
GACAGAGGUGCCGAGCGUUAGGCGGAAUCACUGGGCUUAAAGCGUGUGUAGGCGGGUCCGUAAGUACCUUGUGAAAUCCCAUGGCUCAACCAUGGAACUGCUUGGUAUACUGCGGAUCUUGAGCCACCUAGGGGCAAGUGGAACAAACGGUGGAGCGGUGAAAUGCGUAGAUAUCGUUUGGAACGCCAGUGGUGAAAACAACUUGCUGGGGGUGUGCUGACGCUGGAGACACGAAAGCCAGGGGAGCAAACGGG